GAACGCUAGCUACAGGCUUAACACAUGCAAGUCGAGGGGAAACGAUAUUGGAAGCUUGCUUCUGAUAGGCGUCGACCGGCGCACGGGUGAGUAACGCGUAUCCAACCUGCCCAUCACUUGGGGAUAACCUUGCGAAAGUAAGACUAAUACCCAAUGACGUCUCUAGAAGACAUCUGAAAGAGAUUAAAGAUUUAUCGGUGAUGGAUGGGGAUGCGUCUGAUUAGCUUGUUGGCGGGGUAACGGCCCACCAAGGCGACGAUCAGUAGGGGUUCUGAGAGGAAGGUCCCCCACAUUGGAACUGAGACACGGUCCAAACUCCUACGGGAGGCAGCAGUGAGGAAUAUUGGUCAAUGGACGAGAGUCUGAACCAGCCAAGUAGCGUGCAGGAUGACGGCCCUAUGGGUUGUAAACUGCUUUUAUAAGGGAAUAAAGUGAGUCUCGUGAGGCUUUUUGCAUGUACCUUAUGAAUAAGGACCGGCUAAUUCCGUG
rnacentral:rRNA from 1 species